CUUCAGUUCAUGAAAAAGAAUUUGGACACAAAAAAAAUGGCAAACAUUAGCUGCUCAGCUACAUCUAGGUAUUACAGGUGUGCAAUUGCCAAAUAAAUGAUUAAUUCAUUGCCUGCCUGGAAACUGAAAUGAGAUGCAGCUCAUACAGUUUGUCUGUUGGUGUUAAGACAAACUGAAUAAAAGACCUUGGAAUAUUUAACUCUAAUGAGACCUCGGGUCUCCAACCUUGAACAUCACGGACUGUGGGGAGAGAUUCCUGUGAUGGAUGAUCUCAUUGCACCAUCUCUUAAUUCUGUUAUGGUUUGUUUUGCACCCUGGUCGCCUAGUAACACUGUCGCUUGGCAGGACCAUUUGUGUACAAGCAUAAUGCCCAAAUGGGAUUCUCUAUCUUACUGUUCUCUUUGUGUUCUCUCUCUGGCAUCUCAGUAGUAGGAGUCGUCUACAUGCACACAAUAUUAGUUGUGUGUGGUGCACUCACACAGACACAACACCAUCCACAAUCAAUAGAUCUAAAUAUCUAAAAGUGUGUUGACCUUCAUGGAACAGGCAAUAGCUAUUAAAAUAGCUACAUGCCUGAAAAUACCCAUAUCAACUGUUGAUGGAAUAAUUUAGAAGUUUGCAACAAUCAGAGCUGUAGACCUUCAUGGAAAAUGAUGCAAGUAUAUUUUGCUCCUGAAUACUCUGUGCAGGAUGGUUAAAGAGGCAAACAUUUCUCUUCUUGCAGAACAAAUGAGCAUUUUGGGGUCAAAAUACAAUUAGAGGCCACCUCCAUGCCAACAAAUGUUUUUCAAGGUGUGCCAGAAGAAAGCCAUUUCAAACAUUCAUUAGAUGCUACUGUAAUUUUGACUGAAGCAGGAUUUUCUGGUCUAAAGAGAGCUAUUUGCUAGCAAACACUCAAGGUGAGGUUGACAUAAAAAGAAAGAUAAUUAUACAGAAGAAAACAUAAUCCCCAGCGGUUAAGUAUGGUGUUGUUGUUAUGGGGCUGGUUUUCCUCCAGAGGCCCUGGCCACCUUGUUGGUUAUAUGGCAUCAUGGACUACGUUUACAUGGACAGCAGUAAUCUAAUUAUUGACCUUAUUCUGAAUAAGACAAUAUUGUGAUUAAGGUGUUUACAUGAGUCGCUUUUAGGAUAUUCCUUUCAUGUUCCCGUUUUACGUGUUAUAGAACAUAGAGAUAAUUAACAGCACACGUCAUUACGUCCCCACGCCACCACGUCCGACGUUCCCUCCAGAAUUUCACGUAUCUAUGUACAGUUUGUCUUCGUUAUGGUACCGUAUACAGUU
ensembl:lncRNA